UACGUAGGGGGCAAGCGUUGUUCGGAUUCAUUGGGCGUAAAGGGCGCGUAGGCGGCGGGGUAAGUCGGGUGUGAAAUCUCAGAGCUCAACUCUGAAAUGGCACUUGAUACUGCUCUGCUAGAGGACUGGAGAGGAGAUUGGAAUUCACGGUGUAGCAGUGAAAUGCGUAGAUAUCGUGAGGAAGACCGGUGGCGAAGGCGGAUCUCUGGACAGUUCCUGACGCUGAGGCGCGAAGGCGUGGGGAGCGAACAGG
rnacentral:rRNA from 1 species